CCGCCCCUCUGCUGUUUCUGUGCUGCGCGGUUUUUGCUUUUUGUCCAUUGGUGUCUAAUUUAAGGAUAAUAAUAAGAACAGGUCUUUUCUAUUUUCUUGUUCCUGUUUCCUAUGGUGCUUUGAUGUCCUGGAUUGUGUUGCUGCCUUAUCUCACUCACAUCUAAAAGUUUCUGUUAAAGAAAAGUACGUAUUUUUGAACUCCAAUAAUGUAAGCUGUAAUUAUAAAACCAA
rnacentral:lncRNA from 1 species